UCUUAUGAAGUUAGCGGCGGACGGGUGAGUAACACGUGGGUAACCUGCCCAUAAGACUGGGAUAACUCCGGGAAACCGGGGCUAAUACCGGAUAACAUUUUGAACCGCAUGGUUCGAAAUUGAAAGGCGGCUUCGGCUGUCACUUAUGGAUGGACCCGCGUCGCAUUAGCUAGUUGGUGAGGUAACGGCUCACCAAGGCAACGAUGCGUAGCCGACCUGAGAGGGUGAUCGGCCACACUGGGACUGAGACACGGCCCAGACUCCUACGGGAGGCAGCAGUAGGGAAUCUUCCGCAAUGGACGAAAGUCUGACGGAGCAACGCCGCGUGAGUGAUGAAGGCUUUCGGGUCGUAAAACUCUGUUGUUAGGGAAGAACAAGUGCUAGUUGAAUAAGCUGGCACCUUGACGGUACCUAACCAGAAAGCCACGGCUAACUACGUGCCAGCAGCCGCGGUAAUACGUAGGUGGCAAGCGUUAUCCGGAAUUAUUGGGCGUAAAGCGCGCGCAGGUGGUUUCUUAAGUCUGAUGUGAAAGCCCACGGCUCAACCGUGGAGGGUCAUUGGAAACUGGGAGACUUGAGUGCAGAAGAGGAAAGUGGAAUUCCAUGUGUAGCGGUGAAAUGCGUAGAGAUAUGGAGGAACACCAGUGGCGAAGGCGACUUUCUGGUCUGUAACUGACACUGAGGCGCGAAAGCGUGGGGAGCAAACAGGAUUAGAUACGCUGGUAGUCCACGCCG
rnacentral:rRNA from 1 species